ensembl:snRNA U6 U6 spliceosomal RNA
UUGCUCACUUCAGCACCAUAUAUACUAAAAUUGGAAUGAUACAGAGUUUAGCAUGACCACUGCACAAGGAUGACCUGCAAAUUUGUGAAGCAUUCCGUAUUUUU